rnacentral:rRNA from 1 species
GAUGAACGCUGGCGGCGUGCUUAACACAUGCAAGUCGAGCGAAGCGCUUUGGUUAGAUUCUUCGGAUGAAGACCUUUGUGACUGAGCGGCGGACGGGUGAGUAACGCGUGGGUAACCUGCCUCAUACAGGGGGAUAACAGUUAGAAAUGACUGCUAAUACCGCAUAAGCGCACAGUACCGCAUGGUACGGUGUGAAAAACUCCGGUGGUAUGAGAUGGACCCCGCGUCUGAUUAGGUAGUUGGUGGGGUAACGCCUACCAAGCCGACGAUCAGUAGCCGACCUGAGAGGGUGACCGG